rnacentral:rRNA from 1 species
AAAAUAACAAUGAUUUCCCUAGUAACGGCGAGUGAAGAGGAAAGAGCUCAAAGUUGGAACCUGUUUGGCUUARCUAAACCGGAUUGUAAACUGUAGAAGUGUUUUCCAGACACGCCUGGUAAAAAAGUCCUUUGGAACAGGGCAUCAUAGAGGGUGAGAAUCCCGUCAUUGGCCAGAGCUGUUGUCUUUUGUGAUACAUUUUCAAAGAGUCAGGUUGUUUGGGAAUGCAGCCUAAAUUGGGUGGUAAAUCUCACCUAAAGCUAAAUAUUUGCGAGAGACCGAUAGCGAACAAGUACCGUGAGGGAAAGAUGAAAAGAACUUUGAAAAGAGAGUUAAACAGUAUGUGAAAUUGUUAAAAGGGAACCGUUUGGAGCCAGACUGGCUUGAUCGUAAUCACUCUAGGCUUUGGCCUGGAUGCACUUGCGGUCUAUGCCGGCCAACGACAGUUUUGUUUGAGGGAAAAAAUUACAUUGAAUGUGGCCCCUCGGGGUGUUAUAGCUUUGUAAAAAAUACCUUGGACGGGACUGAGGAACGCAGCGAAUGCCUUUAGGCGAGAUUGCUGGGUGCUUGCGCUGAUACAUGCUAGAAUUUCUGCUUUGGGUGGUGCUAGUGUGUAAAGGAGUAACCCGCUUAGUAUAUUUUUUAUUCGCUUAGGUUGUUGGCUUAAUGACUCUAAAUGAC